rnacentral:rRNA from 1 species
CCAAAAACGGAAUUAUAGUCCUUUUUAGAAAAAUUAACUACUAAACUUGAUAGAAAAAAUUAUUACUAGUUAGAAAGAUUAUGGUAAUUAAAAUGAAUCCAGUCUAUAGCUUUGAAAAAUAUAUAAAUAUAUAUUCAGUAUUUCUAGGAUAUUUAGGUUAAUAAGGUGCCAGCAACCGCGGUCAAACCUUAUUAAUAAAUAAUUUAUUAUAAACUACUACAUUGAAUAUAUAAAUUUAUAGUAUGCAGUGAAAUGUUGCUAUAUUUCUAAAGUCCCAAUAUAUCUCCUCAUAUAUAAAAUAAAAUAAGAUAGAAAACUAGGAUUAGAUACCCUAUUAUUCUUAACCCGUAGCCAGUAGAUUGAGGAGUAAAAUUACUAUAAACUCAAAAGUCAUGGCGGCUAUUAAAAUUUAUCAGGGGAGCUUACCAAAUAAUUGAUAACCACCAAGAUAUUCUUCUUUUGUUUAAAGUUUGUAUGCCGUCGUCUUAAAUUUUUCGGAGAAAAAUUUUUUUACUACUAAGUAAGAAAAAGACAGAUCAAGGUGCAGCUAAUGCUAAAGAUCUGGGCGAGCUACAGUAACCCAAUAUUAACCCAUGCAACUUUAAAUACUUGCUGAAGUUGGACUUGAAAGUAAGUUACAAAUAAAAAAUAAUAGCUGAAUAGUCUGUUUAAUAGUGU